CCUGGUUGAUUCUGCCAGUAGUCAUAUGCUUGUCUUAAAGAUUAAGCCAUGCAUGUCUAAGUAUAAGCAAUUAUACAGCGAAACUGCGAAUGGCUCAUUAAAUCAGUUAUCGUUUAUUUGAUAGUACCUUACUACAUGGAUAACCGUGGUAAUUCUAGAGCUAAUACAUGCUAAAAACCCCGACUUCGGAAGGGGUGUAUUUAUUAGAUUAAAAACCAAUGCCCUUCGGGGCUCACUGGUGAUUCAUGAUAACUUCUCGAAUCGCACGGCCUUGCGCCGGCGAUGGUUCAUUCAAAUUUCUGCCCUAUCAACUUUCGACGGCUGGGUCUUGGCCAGCCGUGGUGACAACGGGUAACGGAGGGUUAGGGCUCGACCCCGGAGAAAACGCCUGAGAAACGGCGUUUACAUCCAAGGAAGGCAGCAGGCGCGCAAAUUACCCAAUGCCGACACGGCGAGGUAGUGACGAGAAAUACUGAUACAGGGCUCUUUUGGGUCUUGUAAUUGGAAUGAGUACAAUUUAAAUCUCUUAACGAGGAACAAUUGGAGGGCAAGUCUGGUGCCAGCAGCCGCGGUAAUUCCAGCUCCAAUAGCGUAUAUUAAAGUUGUUGCAGUUAAAAAGCUCGGUAGUUGAACCUUGGGCCUGGCUGGCCGGUCCGCCUCACCGCGUGCACUGGUCCGGCCGGGCCUUUCCCUCUGGGGAACCGCAUGCCCUUCACUGGGCGUGUCGGGGAACCAGGACUUUUACUUUGAAAAAAUUAGAGUGUUCAAAGCAGGCCUAUGCUCGAAUACAUUAGCAUGGAAUAAUAGAAUAGGACGUGUGGUUCUAUUUUGUUGGUUUCUAGGACCGCCGUAAUGAUUAAUAGGGACAGUCGGGGGCAUCAGUAUUCAAUUGUCAGAGGUGAAAUUCUUGGAUUUAUUGAAGACUAACUACUGCGAAAGCAUUUGCCAAGGAUGUUUUCAUUAAUCAGGAACGAAAGUUAGGGGAUCGAAGAAGAUCAGAUACCGUCGUAGUCUUAACCAUAACUAUGCCGACUAGGGAUCGGAC
rnacentral:rRNA from 1 species